rnacentral:rRNA from 1 species
CAACGUGGGUAACCUGCCCAUCAGAGGGGGAUAACAUUCGGAAACGGAUGCUAAAACCGCAUAGGUCUUCGAACCGCAUGGUUUGAAGAGGAAAAGAGGCGCAAGCUUCUGCUGAUGGAUGGACCCGCGGUGCAUUGGCUAGUUGGUGAGGUAACGGCUCACCAAGGCCGUGAUGCAUAGCCGACCUGAGAGGGUGAUCGGCCACAUUGGGACUGAGACACGGCCCAA